rnacentral:rRNA from 1 species
GUACCCUACGGGGCGCAGCAGUGAGGAAUAUUGGUCAAUGGCCGAGAGGCUGAACCAGCCAAGUCGCGUGAGGGAAGAAUGUCCUAUGGAUUGUAAACCUCUUUUGUCAGGGAGCAAAGUCACCCACGUGUGGGUGUUGGAGAGUACCUGAAGAAAAAGCAUCGGCUAACUCCGUGCCAGCAGCCGCGGUCAUACGUAGGAUCCGAGCAUUAUCCGGAGUGACUGGGUGUAAAGAGUUGCGUAGGUGGCAUAGUAAGUAGCUAGUGAAAUCUGGUGGCUCAACCAUUCAGACUAUUAGCUAAACU